ensembl:rRNA 5S_rRNA 5S ribosomal RNA
GAUGGCCAUACCACCCUGAACUCUCCUGAUCUCUUCUGAUCUCAGAAGCUAAGCAGGAUUGGACCUGGUUAGUACUUGUGUGGGAGAAUAAAGGGCCCAGCCCAGUGAGUGCUUCCAGCACCAAGGCCAUCU